ensembl:bidirectional_promoter_lncRNA 9530062K07Rik RIKEN cDNA 9530062K07 gene
GAUCGGGAGCUAUGGGUUAGUAGCUCCUGGGUAAUUGGGUUUGACCAGAGAGAAGGUGUUUAAGCGGCCAGCUAGUGCGAAAGAGGCGGAAGAUUAUUUUUCCAACUUUCAGAUUUUGCUUUGUGGCCACCUCCGUUGAAACCUCAUUAAAGAUUUCUCUUUGGUAUGCAACUAAGACAAAUGAAAACCUGCUCAGAUGGGGAUACUGAAAGCCAGAGAAGAUAUGGGGUUUGCAGUGGAUUCCAGCCUGUGUUGUCUGGGGCCUGAUUUCAGUGACCCUAACCUUGCUCACAGAGACCGGAAGUGGACACCAGAUCCCUCAGAAUGGGAGUUACAGAUGGUUAUGAGCCACCAAGUGCAUUCAUGGAACUGAACCUGGUUCAACGAAGCAGGAGUUUCUGAACAUCUGAGCCAUCUCUCCAGCCCUAGAUAUUCAUGCUUCUCAUGGAACUCUAUGACAACAAUCCCCAUUUCUUCAUCUUUCCUGCCCCUUAGGCACUCUGAUCACUGUGCUACAUUACAAGAGCAACAGUUUAUAAAACAGGGACCACUCCUUUAUAUUUUGCAUAUAUUGUUUUGUGUUAGUGACUGCAGGUCGAUUGAGCAAGUUUUGGUUUUGUGUUUGGUUGGUUGUUUCAUUUUUCUAGGUAGGGUUUCUUUGUGUAGUUCCGGCUGUUUUGGUAUUUGCAGUGUAGAUUUGUUUUGGUAUUUCCAGGCUGGCCUCAAACUCAGAGAUCCACCUGCCUCUGUCUCCCGAGUGCUGGAAUUAAAGGUGUGCACCAUCAUC